UACGUAGGGAGCGAGCGUUGUCCGGAUUUACUGGGUGUAAAGGGUGCGUAGGCGGCUCUUCAAGUCAGGCGUGAAAGGUACAGGCUCAACUUGUAAACUGCGCUUGAAACUGGAGAGCUUGAGUGAAGUAGAGGCAGGCGGAAUUCCCGGUGUAGCGGUGAAAUGCGUAGAGAUCGGGAGGAACACCAGUGGCGAAGGCGGCCUGCUGGGCUUUAACUGACGCUGAGGCACGAAAGCGUGGGUAGCAAAC
rnacentral:rRNA from 1 species